GUUGAUCAAGUAGUCCUGUGACGUGUACCUAUUACUUGUUAUAUAGAAAGUGUAUCAACUUCAUCAAAAGGUUCUUUUUAAAUUUAUUUAAAUUUAAAUAUCUUACCUAUUCCCUUUAAUAUAAGUUCUAUGUAUCAAUUAGUUGCAAAAGACUAUGCACUGACAUUAGUUUAAUUAUUUCAUCUGUUGCAUCCUGUCUAAAAACGGGCUUACAAAAUGACGGUUUCAGUUGGAUAAUCAUAAAUACAUCUUUACUUCUCACAUUUUUGUCUCGGAUUUUUUUUAAAAGUCAGAUUUCGAAAGAAAAUUUGCUUAUAUUAAAUUUUAAAAUUCUCCUCAAUAAGGAAAGAUAAACAACAAUGAUACACUUCGUUCGAAGGGGAGUUGUAAUGUGUAAUGUUUUGAUUGAAGUGGCAUUUGUACUAAGUGAAUGAAAGACCUUGAAGUUCUACGUUGUUGUCAGUCUAAUGUUCGGCGUGUUUAUUUUCAUUGUUCGGUUUGUAAAAUUUCCAAACUGAAUUGAGAAUAUCCGUUGGGAUGGAAAAUGCACAUAUCAAUUAUUUAUAAGGCACAAAAGCUAUCGAUAGGCACACACUUGAUAUUGGAUGAUAUAUCUUGAAUAUUUUGAAUGAUUCAUUCAGUUUUUUUCAUACACAUAUUGUCAAGAAACUCCGGAUGGCCAAUUUCUAUAUACCUGAAGGUUAUAAAUCUAAAGGUGUAUGAAUAUCAUCAGGGACUAAAGAUAGGUCGAUUUGCUCAUAUAAAAUAUUCCGCAUUUAAGAAAUUUGAAACAGACUGGUUUCCUCUUUGACCUUUGAAAUUGUAUAUGUAAAUGUUUUGACCUAAUAUCUUCAGUCUUAAUUCAACAAUGAAACAUAUCUAUUUUAUAUAUAAACAUAAAUAUUUCAAAAGUUUAUUUGUAAGAGUAUCAUUUUACAUAUCUACCUUCCCAUCAGAAACUAACUCAUAAACGUUAUAAAUGAGAAUCGUUUAAAUUGGGCAUCAGUGUAAUUUGGUGACCAAUUAUAUCACCAAAGUACCAUUGCUUUUACCGCUCAAAUAUUUUUAAAAACUUGGCUCGAGUAAUGAAGCUUUUAAAAAAAAUAUAUGUUGCUAUCUUAUUCAGCCGUUGACGUUAGCUUUAAUAAAAUAAAGUUAAUAUUUGGAAUAGAACCAAACAUAAAAACGUAUAAGAUAUGAAAUCUCCGGAACAAUAAAUCAUAGUUUUAAUUUUAAAAUCAUACAUUGAGAAACAUAAUAAAUAUUGGUCAGAUUAUUAUUCAAUUGGAUAUACUACUUUUGUUUAGAUAAUGUUUUUGAAUGCAUUAAUGACAAGUAUGUCAAAUUGUGUCAAAUUGUGGCUUUGAAAUAUUGUAGUUCUACAUAACGGGUUCCAGAAAAUGAAUAACUGUAAAGGAAAUUAAUUAUCUUGUAAUUUGGUUUGGAACUAGACAUGAAUACAUCGAAUGCUGCAUAACGUCAAGCCUAGUCUGUAGAAUUGUUUUUAACAGACUCAGCAUUUAUUUCAUUGUGUGUUGUACUUUUGUUAAAAUUUCUGAUCACUAAAAUUGCUAGUGAUGGCACCGUAUAUUGAUUGUAUUUCAUGUAUCAGACCGGAGGGUUAGGAAAAUAAAUUCUCUACAAGUUGUUUUAAAAUGAUAAUAUUGACGAAUUCCAGUAGAUUUGUGUUUGAGAUCUGUGCAUUUCUUUUUGUUCAUAAGGUGUGAUGUGGUUUAUAAGUAUUUUGACUCCAAAAUGCAUGUUUUAAUAAAACCUUUUGUUUAUUAGGUAUGUACUAGUAAAUUAUUUAUUUGAAAUUUUCUUUUUUAUACAUGGUUGAGUGAAGACAAUAAUAUGUGUGUUUGUAGUUCAUUAUUUCUUUAAUCUCAGUAGCAUUGCAUUAUAAUGACUAUUUUAAAGCUCAUAAAUGUUUGAAUUUUAUACGGAAAAAUACUAAUUCAACGACUUUAUACUCAUCCAUUCAAAAAAAACAUCUGCAUAUUUGUAUUUCUUUACAUGUAUCAGGCUAAAACUAUUUAACGAAAUACAGAGACACAAUUUUGUCUUUCCGAACUUAUAUUGGAAAACAAAUUGAAAGGUAUUGUUUAUGCUAUAGAAUUGAUGUUUAAAUGAAAAAUAUUUUUAACUACUGAGUACCGCUUAUAUAUGUCUCUUGUCAGAGUGUAUAGUUGAAAAGGGACCAAUAUCUGUAUUGUUACAUCUGUAGUAUAGCUCAGCAUAAUUUAUUUGGCGGGUAAAGUACACUGGUAAAGUAUACAUUGUACUACUUACAUUCUACAUUCUUUUUGGUGUUAAGAAAUAUUAAAUUUAUUUGGGCAAAACUUGCUCAUGUUUGUUAUUUUUGCAAAGAACGUAAUAUUAAAUUGUUUGGUACCCCGUACUGUUAAAAUAUGUUUUACACAUUCUUUUAUUUGUGGUGUAGACUAUUUCAUACAAAAUAUUUACGAAUAAAUCUUACUAUUGUGAUUUUUCAUGUUGAUAUUUUAUAUCAAGAAUAACACUGGAUUCGCCUUAAGCUAUUUACAAUCUAAUAAUUUAAAACAGAUGGAUAAUGCUAUAGACCAAGCGAGGGACGAAUUUCAGGCAAUGUUGAUAUUCUUCAAUUUCAUGAUUAAAAACAAAUAUAGUUUUUUUUUAUUUAGACCAAGUAUCGAUUUGGAAUUAGGAUAGGUUAAAAGGCAUUAAAAUGUGUGUUAAUUGUAAUUUUGCCUGUUUUUAUAUCUCAACUGAAACUGUAUGUAGAAAAACAAAACGCGCGUCUGGCGUUCUAAGUUGUAGUCCUGGUUAUAAUUUAUAGAAGUUUAUAUAACCGGAAUUGUUCAACUGUGUACCUUAUAGAAUACUAUUGACAGUUAAUAAAUCAACCACCUUUUCGGCUGUUUUAUUUCUACCCAGUACAAAAAUGCUUACUCCAGAUUUGACACAACUUUUACUUUGGCAUAUUUAGUUUUAAUGCUUUUGAGAUUUGUGAUCUUAUUUGUCCUUCCUCUUUACCAAUUCUUGAGCAGCUGUAUACCAGUUAUUGCAUUUUGGGCUUACAUAUUUUAAUUGGUAGGUUCAACGCAUUAUAUCUUUAUUAUAUUGACUAAAUUAUUAGGAGUAUUCUAUAAACUACCUCCACAUAGUUAUAAGGAAAUAGACAUUAGAUAAUCGAUAUUGAUGCAGUGUGGCAGUUAUUUUUUCAAACUUAUUUACGCACCGA
rnacentral:lncRNA from 1 species